GAUGAACGCUGGCGGCGUGCCUAAUACAUGCAAGUAGAACGCUGAAGGAGGAGCUUGCUCUUCUGGAUGAGUUGCGAACGGGUGAGUAACGCGUAGGUAACCUGCCUGGUAGCGGGGGAUAACUAUUGGAAACGAUAGCUAAUACCGCAUGACAACAGUUAUUGCAUGAUAACUGUUUAAAAGGGGCAACUGCUCCACUACCAGAUGGACCUGCGUUGUAUUAGCUAGUUGGUGAGGUAACGGCUCACCAAGGCGACGAUACAUAGCCGACCGGAGAGGGUGGUCGGCCACACUGAGACGGAGACACGGCCCAGACUCCUACGGGAGGCAGCAGUAGGGAAUCUGCGGCAAUGGACGGAAGGCUGACCGAGCAACGCCGCGUGAGGGAAGAAGGUUUUCGGAUCGUAAAGCUCUGUUGUAAGAGAAGAACGAGUGUGAGAGUGGAAAGUUCACACUGUGACGGUAUCUUACCAGAAAGGGACGGCUAACUACGUG
rnacentral:rRNA from 1 species